rnacentral:rRNA from 1 species
UGGCGGACGGGUGAGGAAUACGUAGGAAUUUGCCCUUAAGUGGGGGAUAACCCGGGGAAACCCGGAUUAAUACCGCAUGAUCUUUUCGAAGCAAAGCCGGGGACCGCAAGGCCUGGCGCUUUUGGAGAAGCCUACGUCGGAUUAGCUAGUUGGUGAGGUAAUGGCUCACCAAGGCUGCGAUCCGUAACUGGUCUGAGAGGAUGAUCAGUCACAUCGGAACUGAGACACGGUCCGAACUCCUACGGGAGGCAGCAGUGGGGAAUAUUGGACAAUGGGCGAAAGCCUGAUCCAGCAAUACCGCGUGUGUGAAGAAGGCCUUCGGGUUGUAAAGCACUUUAGGUCGGAAAGAAAAAACUUGAGUUAAUACCUUAAGUCUUGACGGUACCGACAGAAUAAGCACCGGCUAACUCUGUGCCAGCAGCCGCGGUAAUACAGAGGGUGCAAGCGUUAAUCGGAUUUACUGGGCGUAAAGCGUGCGUAGGUGGCUGUUUAAGUCGGAUGUGAAAGCCCUGGGCUUAACCUGGGAACUGCAUUCGAUACUGGAUAGCUAGAGAUCGGUAGAGGGCAGCGGAAUUCCGGGUGUAGCGGUGAAAUGCGUAGAUAUCCGGAGGAACAC